rnacentral:rRNA from 1 species
UACAGAGGUCUCAAGCGUUGUUCGGAUUCAUUGGGCGUAAAGGGUGCGUAGGCGGCGCGGUAAGUCGGGUGUGAAAUCUCGGAGCUUAACUCCGAAACUGCAUUCGAUACUGCCGUGCUUGAGGACUGGAGAGGAGACUGGAAUUUACGGUGUAGCGGUGAAAUGCGUAGAUAUCGUAAGGAAGACCAGUGGCGAAGGCGGGGUCUCUGGACAGUUCCUGGACGGCUGAGGCACGAAGGUCAGGGGGAGCAAAACGGGG